AAAAGGUGACUUUUGUGCUUGUGUAUGGAAACAAUAUGCAGAAGACUAGCAUGGCCCCAUGGCAAGGAUGACAAGCAAGUUCAUGAAGCAUUCCAUAUUUUU